rnacentral:rRNA from 1 species
UAGGGAAUCUUCGGCAAUGGACGGAAGUCUGACCGAGCAACGCCGCGUGAGUUAAGAAGGUUUUCGGAUCGUAAAGCCCUGUUGUUAGAGAAGAACGUUGGUAGGAGUGGAAAAUCUACCAAGUGACGGUAACUAACCAGAAAGGGACGGCUAACUACGUGCCAGCAGCCGCGGUAAUACGUAGGUCCCGAGCGUUGUCCGGAUUUAUUGGGCGUAAAGCGAGCGCAGGCGGUUCUUUAAGUCUGAAGUUAAAGGCAGUGGCUUAACCAUUGUACGCUUUGGAAACGGGAGGACUUGAGAGGAGAAGGGGAGAGUGGAAUUCCAUGUGUAGGGGUGAAAUGCGUAGAUAUAUGGAGGAACACCGGUGGCGAAAGCGGCUCUCUGGUCUGUAACUGACGCGGAGGCUCGAAAGCGUGGGGAGCAAACAGG